AUUGAACGCUGGCGGCAGGCCUAACACAUGCAAGUCGAACGAGUGGCGGACGGGUGAGUAAUGUCUGGGAAACUGCCUUAUGGAGGGGGAUAACUACUGGAAACGGUAGCUAAUACCGCAUACCAUCAGAUGUGCCCAGAUGGGAUUAGCUAGUGGGUGGGGUAAAGGCUCACCUAGGCGACGAUCACUAGCUGGUCUGAGAGGAUGACCAGUCACACUGGAACUGAGACACGGUCCAGACUCCUACGGGAGGCAGCAGUGGGGAAUAUUGCACAAUGGUCGAAAGCCUGAUGCAGCCAUGCCGCGUGUGUGAAGAAGGCCUUCGGGUUGUAAAGCACUUUAAGCGGGGAGGCGUUACCAGCAGAAGAAGCACCGGCUAACUCCGUGCCAGCCGCCGCGGUAAUAC
rnacentral:rRNA from 1 species